CAUGCAAGUCGUACGAGAAAUCCUGGGCAACUGGGAGAGUAAAGUGGCGCACGGGUGAGUAACGCGUGGGUAACCUGCCCUUGAAUUGGGGAUAACUCUUCGAAAGGGGAGUUAAUACCGAAUAAUAUUCCAAUUCCUCCGGGAGUUGGAAUCAAAGGUGGCCUCUGCAUGCAAGCUAUCGUUUAAGGAUGGGCCCGCGUACCAUUAGCUAGUUGGUAGGGUAAUAGCCUACCAAGGCAACGAUGGUUAGCUGGUCUAAGAGGAUGGCCAGCCACACUGGAACUGAGACACGGUCCAGACUCCUACGGGAGGCAGCAGUGGGGAAUUUUGCACAAUGCCCGAAAGGGUGAUGCAGCAACGCCGCGUGAGGGAUGAAGGCCUUCGGGUCGUAAACCUCUUUCGACCGGAAAAAAUGGCUCCGUGAAGAGCGGGGUCUGAUGG
rnacentral:rRNA from 1 species